ensembl:lncRNA
CUGCAAACACCUGGACCGAGCGCUGAAAGACUCCAGGUACAGCGGCACGAGCUCCGUCUCCUCCCAGAGUUCAGUGCGGUGUGUCAUGAUGUGCUUCAGUUCUGCAUGCUGCUCAUUUAUCAUCGAGGAUCUGGCUGUCCUGCCUCGAUUACCCCAGGAUCAGCAGGCUGAAGGACAGUCGGUCGGGGAACAGCCUCCAAAGCAGCUCAGAGAACGAGGCCCAGUCUUCAGAGCCGCGGCCGUGGAGCAGCUCCAACCUCAACCUGAAGCAUCCCGGUCCUGACCCGCGGAGACCGCUCCAGCAGCAGCAGGAGCGCGGGACGCCUCUCAAACACAGGUUUAUAUUUAGACUUCCUCUCAGAUUUGACCUCGCUUACACUGUAAUCUAGUGCUGUUGGUCUUCCUCACUGUGAGCUGAUGAACCAGCACUGCACAUCAAACUCAUUUCAAAGCUGCUUUACAGAAAGUCAUGAGGUCAGCAGUGCUGUCGUCUACAGUCCCAGCCUGACCUCACAGGCCUCCAGGUGUCACUCAUCUGUAGCUCCGCCUCCUGCCGCUCAGCCCACCAAUCACCUCACAGAACAGAUGCCGGCGUGUCACUGUUCGUCCAGCCAGUUCCCGGUGUCUGGACAGCCGUACCUGCGCAUGGGUUCAGUGCCAUACAGCGCUCAGAGUCAGAUUCCUCCCGCACCCCUGCAGCAGCCAGGUUAUCAAACUGUGAUGCCAAAUCAGCAGCAGAACUACCAGAACAUGAUGCAGCCGCCGCAGAAUCAGAUGCAAGGCAUGAUGGUCCAGCAUCCGUCAGUGCCAUCUUAUCAGCUCCUCCGUGGGGUUCCUGCCUCCUCCAGGAGCGGAGCAGAUGCUGUUCCACCGCACCACGGCACCCUGCGGCUCGCAACAGAUUCCCGCGCAGCAGUGCUCAGGAGCUCCGCCCCCAGCAGCAGGUGGACUGGUGUUACCUGUGUCCCAGCAGCCUCCUUACUUCAGCUCCCAUCACUCACGCUCUCAGAAGCACAGCGACGUCUGCGGUCUGCAGCCAACACGAUAUCGUCAAAUCCUCCUCCUGCUGGUGCUCUUAUUGAUCCGCAGGGACUGGAGCUGCUGGAGCCCAUGAUAAAGGACAGCUUUAUCUUCUUCUGGAGGUCCGCUGAGGCUGUGACCUGGCUCUGUGCCAGCGAGACUAUUAACGUGUAAUAGCUCAGCCGAGAACGAGCUCCAUCUCUCAGCGUCCAGCUUCUGUUUAUUCAGCAGUAUGAUGUUUUUAUCAGAAAACCUCCACCGUCCAGACCUUCUGUUACACUACUGUAGAAGUGUGCAAUAACGCAGUAUUUCCAGCUAAAAACAUUGAAGUUACAGCAGAAGACUUCAGAGCUUCUUCACUCCGAGAUCUCUCUCGUCAGAUAAAAACUGCUGCAGUAUGAUAACAACACACAGAGAAAGCACCGAGACCGGAAAAUGGAGCCUGCUUUCUGCAAUCUUUCACAUUAUAUCGCAAGUUUUUAAUAUUUGCAUUAUUAAAAUAUGUCAAUUUCAGUGUUGUUUUAGUAUUAUUCAUAUGCAAUUAUCAUUUCUGUUAAUAUUUAAAGUUGGAUUUUAUUUUUAUAAAAUAAAAUAAAACAAGUUUUUAUAUCCUUUAUUUUUUUUUUACUUUUUUUUUUUUUUAAUGUGUGUGUGUGUGUGUGUGUGUACUUAAUUUUAGUAGCUACACUUCAUUGAAAAUGGAAAAUGUUGCCUUGGUAACUAGUGGACAUAAAAUUAGUAAGUUUUUAAAAAUAUUUUAUUUCAGUUAAUUUAUUUCAAGUAGUGAUUUUAGUUAAUGAUAAUUGUGGUACAUUUGCUCUACUUUCUUACAGUACCUUAGCAAUGAAUUAGUUAAAAAUCUGGGUGUUAUAUUAGACAGUAACUUGUCUUUUGAAAAUCAUAUUUCCCAUGUUACAAAAACAGCAUUCUUCCAUCUUAGAAACAUAAGCUACGAAACAUGUUACCUGUUCCUGAUGCAGAAAAGCUAGUUCAUGCAUUCAUGACCUCUAGACUGGACUAUUGUAAUGCACUGCUAGCUGGUUGUCCUGCAUCCUCAAUAAACAAGCUACAGGUAGUCCAAAAUGCAGCGGCUAGAGUACUUACCAGGUCAAGAAAAUAUGAUCAUAUUACCCCAAUAUUACAGUCUCUGCACUGGCUACCUAUUAAGUUCUGUAUCAGUUACAAAAUAUUAUUACUUACUUAUAAGGCCCUUAAUGGUUUAGCUCCUGCGUACCUAACUAGUCUUCUACCACGCUACAAUCCAUCACGCUCCCUAAGGUAUUAAUAUUUCCUAACAUUAUUACUAUAAAUAGUAUAAAAAUUAGUAUUCAGAUUAAAGCUGUUGAUUUAAUGUGUGAUGGAGUCUAUCAGAAUGCAGUUAUAUGAGCCUAAAAUUCAAGAUAUGAGGCAAAAAAUCUCUCCAAUAUCUGCACCACUGCAAACAUGACAUUCAUUUAUACAACAGUUAAAUAAACAAGAAGUUCAUAUUGUUACGUUAGACACAAUAUUGUGUGUUUUGCUCAAUUUAAAAGCCACGGCAGAACUGUUGAGCAUCUGAUCAACACACAGCGGUGAUUCUUUACUGAAUGAAUCGAGUGAGUCAAUGAUUCAGUGACUCAUUCAUAAAGACUCAUAAAGAAUCAGCUGUUUGAAUGAAUCGGUUGAAUGAAUGAUUCAGUGACAGGGACUUGCCACCGUAAUAUUAAUAUUCAGUUUAUUAUCAUUAUUCAUGCAAAGUUAUAUGAAAACAUUCCUUUCAACUGGUACUUUUUCAGUGCUGUAAAUGAUCCCUAAAUGGUCUUUUGAAGGGUUAUUUCUCAGCCAGAACUGAUAUGAGAUUAAUUUGCGAUUAAUGUAAUAAUUAACUGGCACAUCAUAUAAUUAAUAAGAAUAAAAAUGUUAAUUGCUUGACCACCCUAAUAAAAAUUUACAAAAGUAUUAAGCCACUGGAAGCAGCGACUGCUUCACAUUUGGUCUGAGAACAGCCGUUUACCGCAGUGAAAUUAUGGUAAUGCUUUUACUGACAAUCAACAGUUACAUUUUUUAGUAUUAAUGACUAGAGUAAUGAUGCUGAUGUUUUGAUUUACUGCAGUAAACCGUUUAAAGUCAGUUGUUUUAUGUGUGCACAUACUGAGACUCAUUUCUCCUCUACUCCUGAUGAACCUGAACACCAAACUGAAGCCAAUAAUGACCCGAGACCUCAUUACAUCGAACAAAACACAAUUACAGACGCGACCGCAAACAGUUCCUUAAACUGUGAAUAAAAAUAAGAGAGGCAACAGAGAAGUGCACAUCCUCUUCUUCCUCUUUUAAUCAGAAUGUUUCAUUUCCUAAGGAUAUAAAGCUGUUAGUGUGGAUGCAGAAGAUCUGCGGUCACAGGCACUGAAGACGUGAGAACACAGGCUUCCUUCAGCAGGACGCAGGAACUCCAGUCUGACCACAAACACACAAGUCUGAGUCUGUGAGGCGUUUGAUGGAGUAAACCAACAGCAGACGCCUUUCUCUCGCUGACAUUAAGUGAUGUCUGAGUUCUUGCACUGAGCAUUUCUUUUAAAAACAAUCAUGAAUUCUAAACUGGUUUUGAGGAGUUUUAUAUCAUACCAUCUGUGGGUUUGAAGCUGGUUUCCGCUGUAACAUUACAAACAUUAGAUAAGCUUUAGUUGUAUCUGUUCAUAUUAUUUAAUGGACCUAAGCUAACUUUAAUAGACCUACCUACAAAUGAAAGUCGGUGAGAGCUCUAAAGAGUUACUGACAGUUGUAACACACAAGGGACUUUUCAGAUACCAGCGUCUUCCUUUUGGUAUCACCUCGGCCCCUUCAUUGUUCCAGAGAGCCAUGGAUCAGGUGUUAAGUGGCCUGUUGGGGGACCAGUUCUUCUUAGAUGACAUCUUAGUGACAGGAAAAACGAAAGCAGAACAUCUGAGUAAUCUGGAUAGUACACUCCAGCACCUAAAGGGAUAUGGUUUAAGAGUGAGAAAAGACAAAUGUGAGCUUUUCAAGCAGUCUGUUGAAUAUCUUGGACAUGUGAUCGAUGCUGAUGUACUGCACAAGGCACCUUCAAAAGUAAAGGCUGCACUAGAGGCUCCAGCACCACAGAACGUCAGCCAGCUUCGCUCAUUCAUAGGUCUUCUGAAUUACUAUGGUUGAUUGAUCAAUGGCUUAGCCACACUGCUGAAACCUCUACACCAACUUCUGUGUAGUAACCAGAUAUGGGAAUGGACACAGCAGUGUGAGACUACCUUUCAAGAAGCCAAGAAAGCUCUGGUGAAGUCUGGUGUGCUGAUCCAUUUUAAUCCAAAACUCCCCUUACAGUUAGCCUGUGAUGCGUCACCUUAUGGUGAUUUCCCACAUCGUGCCUUCAGGAGAAGAGAGGCCAAUAGCAUUUGCCUCGCGCACCUUUAACAAAGUGGAGAGCAAGUAUGCGCAAAUCAAGCAAGAAGCUUUGGGAAUCAUUUUUGGUAUUCAGAAAUGUCACCAGUACCUGUAUGGCAAGCAGUUCAUACUGCUGACUGAUCACCGGCCUUUAACCACCAUUCAUGUGCCGCACACAGGUGUCCCCUCUCUGGCAGUGAGCCGAAUGCAGAGAUAUGCUCUGUUAUCAGCGCACACAUAUGAAAUAAGAUAUCAGAAGGCAGAGCUGCAUGUAAAUCCAGACUGUCUAUCAAGGCUACCAUUACCCGUGACAUUUCCCGAGAGCAAGCAGAAAGACAUUUUCUACUUUGAGCAAGUCACAAUGGCUCCAGUGACAUCAGCACAGGUCAGAAGAUGCACAGGGAACGAUCCAAUUCUGUCUGAAGUCAUGGAAAUGGUAAAAGAUGGACAUGUCUCUAAG